GCAAACUUGGUCAUUUAGAGGAAGUAAAAGUCGUAACAAGGUUUCCGUAGGUGAACCUGCGGAAGGAUCAUUCACAAUAAGUGUUUAUGGCACUUUCAAUCCCAUAUCCACCUUGUGUGCAACGUCGGUCGUGCCUCCCUUUACUCUGUGAAGGACGCGACCAAACAUCAACCAAAAUGAUCAACAAUGUCGUCUGAAGUAUUAUAUGAAUAAAACAAAUUCAAAAUACAACUUUCAACAACGGAUCUCUUGGCUCUCGCAUCGAUGAAGAACGCAGC
rnacentral:misc_RNA from 1 species